rnacentral:rRNA from 1 species
UACGGAGGGUCCGAGCGUUGUCCGGAAUUAUUGGGUUUAAAGGGUACGUAGGCGGAUUAAUAAGUCAGAGCUGAAAUCCUACAGCUUAACUGUAGAACUGGCUUUGAAACUGUUAAUCUUGAGUCAUUUGGAAGUAGAUAGAAUGUGUAGUGUAGCGGUGAAAUGCAUAGAUAUUACACAGAAUACCGAUUGCGAAGGCAGUCUACUACGAAUGUACUGACGCUGAUGGACGAAAGCGUGGGGAGCGAACAGG